rnacentral:rRNA from 1 species
GACGAACCGUGCGAACGUUAUUCGGAAUCACUGGGCUUAAAGCGCGUGUAGGCGGGCCGGCACGUCGGCGUUGAAAUGUCCCGGCUCAACCGGGGCCCUGGCGCCGAUACGACCGGCCUGGAGGGGGGUAGGGGGACCUGGAACUUCCGGUGGAGCGGUGAAAUGCGUUGAGAUCGGAAGGAACGCCCGUGGCGAAAGCGAGGUCCUGGGCCCUUACUGACGCUGAGACGCGAAAGCCAGGGGAGCGAACGGGAUUAGAUACCCCGGUAGUCCUGGCUGUAAACGUUGGGCACUGGAUAGGGGGCUCGCCGAUGGGCUCCCUGUCGAAGCGAAAGCGUGAAGUGCCCCGCCUGGGGAGUAUGGCCGCAAGGCUGAA